GUUUCUUCACUCAACAAAUAGAUUGAACUAAUAUUAAGAUUUAGAGAUUUAGUACACUCCAUUUAUAUUUAUGCAGAAUAUAUUCUUUCAAACAGUCUGUGGAUGAAUUGUGAGGCUGUGGAUGGAGAUGGAGGUGGGUCAUUGUCUUAUCAUAAGCAAAGAAGAGGUGGGGAGUUAGUUAAUUGGGUGAGGGAAAGAAAGAAAAGCACUUCAAAUUUCUGCCCCAUACCAUUUUCAUUGGACUAAAGUCCACACACACUGUGGAAAGAAUCAUCAUGGCAAGGGUGGUUGCACUCCAACAGAACCAACUUUCUUUCUCUCCCUUAGCUUCCUCUCUUUCCGACUUCAGUGGAACCAGACUUCAAACUCAACUUCAGGGGUCAAGCAUGGUGAAUUGCUUUUUGGGCGUAAUAAGCUUUUGUCUCUUAUGGUCGGCAAGAGUCAAAUGUCACGAACCGGAGGGUUCUGAUAAAGUUCUGUCAGUGGCUCAAGGCUAGGCUAGCAGGUUCAUAGAGAAUUCCGUAAACCUCUCAUUGUAAUGUCCCCCAAGAAACUGCUUUGUAGCAAGGCUUGCAGAUCAAAUUUAUCUGAGUUUGAUGAUGUCCAAGGCCACCCAGGUUUUGACAAACAGGGAACCAGAUUUAAGCGCCUCAUAAAAGACCAAAAUCUCCACUCAGAUGUUGAGGAGGGUAUUAGACGUUUAGUACUUUGCUCUGGAAAGAUUUACUAUGAACUUGAUGAUCAACGAAGAAAGGUUGAUGCAAAGGACGUUGCAAUAUGUAGAGUGGAACAACUUUGUCCUUUCCCUUACGACCUUGUCCAACGAGAGCUUAAACGAUAUCCAAGUAUGUACUUUGGAAACAAAUUCUGAUUUCUUCUAUGUUUUUCUUGUUGAAGGUGUGAAUGGGGUAUAAUUUAUCUUUUUUUUCCUAGCAUCUAAUUCUCGUUUGUCCUUCUGUUAUAGGCAGUAUUUAAAUUUUCUACUUUUA